rnacentral:rRNA from 1 species
AGGACGAACGCUGGCGGCGUGCUUAACACAUGCAAGUCGAGCGGUAAGGCCUUUCGGGGUACACGAGCGGCGAACGGGUGAGUAACACGUGGGUGAUCUGCCCUGCACUCUGGGAUAAGCCUGGGAAACUGGGUCUAAUACCGGAUAUGACCUGCUCUCGCAUGGGGGGUGGUGGAAAAGAUUUAUCGGUGCAGGGAUGGGGCCCGCGGCCUAUCAGCUUGGUUGGUGGGGUAAUGGCCUACCAAGGCGACGACGGGUAGCCGACCUGAGAGGGUGACCGGCCACACUGGGACCGAGACACGGCCCAGACUCCUACGGGAGGCAGCAGGUGGGAAUAUUGCACAAGUGGGACGAAAGCCUGAUGCAGCGACGCCGCGUGAGGAUGAAGGUCCGUUCGGGUUAGUAAACCUCUUUACAGCGAAGGACGAAGCGACGAAGUGACCGUACUGACAGAAGAAGACCACCGGACUAACUACGUA